rnacentral:hammerhead_ribozyme from 1 species
GCAUUGCUGAGGAGUCCCACGAUAAGACGAAAUGGCCAUCCAAUGC